UAUAACAAUUAAUGGCUCAUAUUCAUCAAGAAAAACUUAAACCCCUAAGCAGUUACUUCCUUUUGUCCAAACCCUAAAUCAGCAACUUCCUUCUAAACAAUCCAAUCCCUAAACCUAAAAGCAAGCCAUCUUUAAUUCAUCCUUUCUCUCCAAAUCUCAUCACCUCUCCUCUUAAUCUUUUGCCCAUCCACAAGUCUCAUGCCGAAACCCUAUCUUUCUCGGCUUUUUCAACUGAAGAGAUGGCGAUGAAGUCAAUACAAGCUAUUAGUGCUAGGGUGAUGAAGGCUUGGCUCAAGGCAAGGAGCUGGCAAAGGAGUAGUACCCUUGUGGAGUUAAUCUCCUAAUUUUAAUAUUGUAUGUCUUUCAGCGAAUCAAGAGUUGAGUGGAGUAGGUGUCCUUUCUUGAAUUAUCGCGGCGAUUGUCGCUUGCCAGGCCUGCAGGUCUAGGACAUAGUUGUCGUCUUGCAAAAGAUGCUACAAUGGUGAGAUCUUUGGUGGAUGAUCGCAUAGCUCUUAUAAUCCAAACUUUUUCUUCUAUUAUCAUAGCAUUUGUUUUGCCGUUGAUUACUUCAUGGAGCUAGAUUAGACAUUGUCAUGAUUUCCAUCCAUCCAUUAAUCACUCUUUCAUUCUAUACCCACCCAGUUUCCUUAAAAAAAGAUGUUGAAUAAAACAAUUCGAUCUCAGUCUAAGAGCAGCAAACUUGCAGUUGAGGCUGUUUCCAACAUUCGCACAAUCACUAUUUUCUCUUCUC